rnacentral:rRNA from 1 species
CUUGACGACCAUAGCAAGGUGGCCCCACGCCUUCCCAUCCCGAACAGGACCGUGAAACGCCUUCGCGCCGAUGAUAGUGGACGCUCGUCCGUGAAAGUAGGUCAUCGUCAGGC